AAAACCAGGGAAUUGAAGGGAGAUACAGUGCCUUUUGGAGUUAAGGGAGGCAGGAAGGAGCAGAAUCAGUUGCACGUGCAGAGAAUGUAGCCUUAGUGAGCUUUAGAGGUAUCUCUUCUAUGAUUACCAAAUAAAAAAAGAGGCUGAAAAACUUUGAGGAGUGCAUAAGGACAAAUGAGAGUGUUCACAUGGGAUGGACUCAAUCAUUUCAAUAAAGGAGGAUGCUAGAUUAUCUGCUAUAAAUGUGGAUGUCAGAGGCACUAUUGAGAGGAGAGGGCUAAAGAAGAAUUGAUUUCAGUUGGAAAAUGGAAUGUUAAGGUUCUGACUGUUAAAUUUGGUGAAAUUACAGGAGACAGUUAGUUUGAAAUCAUGACCUUGUUAACAAGAGGCUGAAGAGAAAUCAAGGCCAUUGCAGUUGAAGAAUGUAAGGAACUGUGUGAUUAAGAUGUUAGUCUAUCAUCAUGGAGACUGAGAAAGGAAAAUUCCUAGAAGGAAAUGCUUCAGUCCUUCCCUGAAGUCAUCACUGGCCCCAUUGCUUCAUGAUCGUCUUCAGAUGGCCAUACCAGGAGUCCAUCCUUCCUCCAAAUCCCUGUGGGACAGGGUCUAGUACAUUUUUAGGCAAAAGGAGCAGACUAUUAUUAUCAAUCACAGCAGCAUUACAAUUAGUAAUGGCGAUUUUUUUUCCUGCUCAUUUGCAUCAUGGGCUGUACAUGAAGCUCCGAGGAUUUGCACGUGGGCAUUUUAAAACAGGUGUGUUAAAACACAAAACAUCUUAAUUAUGAUCAAUCCCAACUACAUAGUAUCAGUAACAGCAAUUAAUACAGUAUUUCCAGCAAUGCAGUUUCCUUAGUGGUGCACUAGGUCCAAUGAUGAUCAUUUUGGGAGGAUUAAUUAAUAAACUUUGCUAUAGGAAACGAGUGUCUACAAAGGUCCCUAGAGAGAUUUGUAACAAAAAAAUCCCCACAAAUAUAGGAAAUCUAUUUUGACAACAUUUUUGGUAUUGAUCUCAGGAAUUAUUUUUUCCUUCUCCCAAAAUUUCAAAAUUCAUUUUGGGAAAAAUGAAAAGAGGCAGGUGAGUGAAGAGGGGAAGGCAAAAGAGGGAGAAAAGUAAUAGAUGGAAAUGGUAGAAAACAAACAUUGAAAAUAAUGUAUGAAAACAUGAAUAAGAAGCUGAUAUUGAGAAAUUUUGGAUCAGGUUUACUCACCUCCCUCUGUGCCUAUUUCCAAGUUAAAAAUCAACCUUUUAUAAUGCUCAAGUGUAACACCAACCUUGAUUCCAGGAUACAGCGAUCUCAUCCAACCCCCAAAUAAAACCUGGAAGAAAAUUGAUGCCUAGAGUUCAUGCAACUUGCCCAAAUGCUACUGUCCAAUGUAGCUUUCUCCUACACUCCUUUGAGUUUUUAAGGCUUAAAUUAUUUGUCACUAUAAUUUUCACAGUGAAUUUUAUAUAGUAGACUCUGAAUGGCUGCUGUUGUAAUCAAUCUCCAACUCUGUCCAAGGCUAUUCUUCUUUUUCAAAGUGUUUGUCACUAAAAUCUGGACAAAUGGACUCUAUCCUUGACUUUGGAUAAAUAUGGUCUUUUCCUUACAUCAAGUCUAGCCUAUUUUAAUUAUAUUCUAGCUUUACUCCACUUAUGGCACCUUUAUUCUGGACAACUUUCCCAUGCAGCAUGAAAUAAUUAAAAAAAA